AGGUACUUGAUUCUUUAAAUCUUUAAAUCUUUCCCAAGCCUCACAAAAUGAUUCAUGGUUCUUCUAAAUGAAACUUGAGAUUUCAUUUCUUAACCU
rnacentral:snoRNA from 1 species